AUACGUAGGGGGCGAGCGUUGUCCGGAAUUAUUGGGCGUAAAGGGUUCGCAGGCGGCCAAAUAAGUCAGAUGUGAAAAGUCACGGCUUAACCGUGGUAAGCAUUUGAAACUGUAUGGCUUGAGUUAAGGAGAGGAAAGUGGAAUUCCUAGUGUAGCGGUGAAAUGCGUAGAUAUUAGGAGGAAUACCAGUGGCGAAGGCGACUUUCUGGACUUAAACUGACGCUGAGGAACGAAAGCGUGGGUAGCAAACAGGAUUAGAUACCCUGGUAGUCCACGCCGUAAACGAUGAGUGCUAGGUGUUGGGGGUCAAACCUCGGUGCCGCAGCUAACGCAUUAAGCACUCCGCCUGGGGAGUACGUGCGCAAGCAUGAA
rnacentral:rRNA from 1 species